rnacentral:rRNA from 1 species
GACGAACGCUGGCGGCGUGCCUAAUACAUGCAAGUAGGACGCAGUUGCGAACGGGUGAGUAACGCGUAGGUAACUACCUAUCAGCGGGGGAUAACUAUUGGAAACGAUAGCUAAUACCGCAUACUAGUAGAUGGACCUGCGUUGUAUUAGCUAGUAGGUAGGGUAAUGGCCUACCUAGGCAACGAUACAUAGCCGACCGGUGGGGGGGAUCGGACAAAGUGGAGGUGAGGGACGGCGCAGAAGCCUAAGGGAGGCAGCAGUAGGGAAAUAUCGGCAAUGGGGGGAAACCGGAACGAGCAACGCAGCGUGAGUGAAGAAGGUUUUCGGAUCGUAAAGCUCUGUUGUGAAGGAAGCGGUACUUAGCCAGAAAGGGACGGCUAACUGCAUGCCAGCAGCCGCGGUAAUUC